AGAGUUUGAUCAUGGCUCAGAUUGAACGCUGGCGGCAUGCCCUACACAUGCAAGUCGAACGGCAGCACGGGAGCUUGCUCCUGGUGGCGAGUGGCGAACGGGUGAGUAAUAUAUCGGAACGUACCCUAGAGUGGGGGAUAACGUAGCGAAAGUUACGCUAAUACCGCAUACGAUCUACGGAUGAAAGUGGGGGAUCGCAAGACCUCAUGCUCAUGGAGCGGCCGAUAUCUGAUUAGCUAGUUGGUGGGGUAAAAGCUCACCAAGGCGACGAUCAGUAGCUGGUCUGAGAGGACGACCAGCCACACUGGAACUGAGACACGGUCCAGACUCCUACGGGAGGCAGCAGUGGGGAAUUUUGGACAAUGGGCGCAAGCCUGAUCCAGCAAUGCCGCGUGAGUGAAGAAGGCCUUCGGGUUGUAAAGCUCUUUUGUCAGGGAAGAAACGGUUCGGGCUAAUAUCCUGAGCUAAUGACGGUACCUGAAGAAUAAGCACCGGCUAACUACGUGCCAGCAGCCGCGGUAAUACGUAGGGUGCAAGCGUUAAUCGGAAUUACUGGGCGUAAAGCGUGCGCAGGCGGUUGUGCAAGACAGAUGUGAAAUCCCCGGGCUCAACCUGGGAAUUGCAUUUGUGACUGCACGGCUAGAGUGUGUCAGAGGGGGGUAGAAUUCCACGUGUAGCAGUGAAAUGCGUAGAGAUGUGGAGGAAUACCGAUGGCGAAGGCAGCCCCCUGGGAUAACACUGACGCUCAUGCACGAAAGCGUGGGGAGCAAACAGGAUUAGAUACCCUGGUAGUCCACGCCCUAAACGAUGUCUACUAGUUGUCGGGUCUUAAUUGACUUGGUAACGCAGCUAACGCGUGAAGUAGACCGCCUGGGGAGUACGGUCGCAAGAUUAAAACUCAAAGGAAUUGACGGGGACCCGCACAAGCGGUGGAUGAUGUGGAUUAAUUCGAUGCAACGCGAAAAACCUUACCUACCCUUGACAUGUCUGGAAUCCUUGAGAGAUCAGGGAGUGCUCGAAAGAGAAUCAGAACACAGGUGCUGCAUGGCUGUCGUCAGCUCGUGUCGUGAGAUGUUGGGUUAAGUCCCGCAACGAGCGCAACCCUUGUCAUUAGUUGCUACGAAAGGGCACUCUAAUGAGACUGCCGGUGACAAACCGGAGGAAGGUGGGGAUGACGUCAAGUCCUCAUGGCCCUUAUGGGUAGGGCUUCACACGUCAUACAAUGGUACAUACAGAGGGCCGCCAACCCGCGAGGGGGAGCUAAUCCCAGAAAGUGUAUCGUAGUCCGGAUUGUAGUCUGCAACUCGACUACAUGAAGUUGGAAUCGCUAGUAAUCGCGGAUCAGCAUGUCGCGGUGAAUACGUUCCCGGGUCUUGUACACACCGCCCGUCACACCAUGGGAGCGGGUUUCACCAGAAGUGGGUAGCCUAACCGCAAGGAGGGCGCUCACCACGGUGGGAUUCGUGACUGGGGUGAAGUCGUAACAAGGUA
rnacentral:rRNA from 1 species